rnacentral:rRNA from 1 species
UACGUAGGGGGCUAGCGUUGUCCGGAAUCAUUGGGCGUAAAGAGCGUGUAGGCGGUCCGGUAAGUCCGCUGUGAAAGUCGGGGGCUCAACCCUCGAAUGCCGGUGGAUACUGUCGGGGCUAGAGUACAGAAGGGGCAACUGGAAUUCUCGGUGUAGCGGUGGAAAUGCGUAGAUAUCGAGAGGAACACCUGCGGCGAAGGCGGGUUGCUGGGCUGAUGACUGACGCUGAGGAGCGAAAGCAUGGGGAGCGAACAGG